rnacentral:rRNA from 1 species
CCUACGGGGUGCAGCAGUGAGGAAUAUUGGUCAAUGGACGAGAGUCUGAACCAGCCAAGUAGCGUGAAGGAUGACUGCCCUAUGGGUUGUAAACCUCUUUUGUCGGGGAGCAAGGCCCGCCACGUGUGGCGGGAAGGAGAGUACCCGAAGAAAAAGCAUCGGCUAACUCCGUGCCAGCAGCCGCGGUAAUACGGAGUAUGCGAGCGUUAGCCGGAUUUAUUGGGUUUAAAGGGUGCGUAGGCGGAAGGUUAAGUCAGCGGUCAAAUGUCGGUGCUCAACACCGGCCUGUCGUUGAAACUGGUCUUCUUGAGUGAGCGAGAAGUAUGCGGAAUGCGUGGUGUAGCGGUGCAAUGCAUAGAUAUCACGCAGAACUCCGAUUGCGAAGGCAGCAUACCGGCGCUCAACUGACGCUGAGGCACGAAAGCGUGGGGAUCGAACAGGAUUAGAUACCCCAGUAGUC